rnacentral:lncRNA from 1 species
CUUUAGACUGAGAGCAAGAGUCAGCUAUAGGAGGAAUUCCUUUCAAUUUACUUUAUUUAUUUAAUGUUGAGAAUGUUUAUUAAAUGGUUUCCUCCCUCUGUAAUGGACUUUCUACCAAGGCGGCUCCAACUUGAUGGAUGGAAAUUUGUGACGCUCAGCGCGAGUCCAAUGCACCACAACAGCAUGCUGAGAGGAAGGGUCAACAGGUGGCUCUGGUGUCUUCAAUUCCUUGAGUUCAAAUUUACUCUUGUCAGUUGGGUGGGUGGAGACAGCUCUUAGACAUUUUCCAAGGCCCAACCUCUUUGCAUUUUGUCGCUUGGCAAUGUUCGAUGCUUGAAGUUUCAUUAUGUUAAACCGAAAAUCAAGAAAAGUAUUGAGCUAAUGUAUACGAGUAUUUUGUGUAUAUCUGACUGACAUUUAAUUCCCAACAAACCGUGUGAGUGUGUAU